rnacentral:rRNA from 1 species
AGAGUUUGAUCCUGGCUCAGGAUGAACGCUGGCGGCGUGCCUAACACAUGCAAGUCGAGCGAAGCGAUUUAGCGGAAGUUUUCGGAUGGAAGUUAAAUUGACUGAGCGGCGGACGGGUGAGUAACGCGUGGGUAACCUGCCUCAUACAGGGGGAUAACAGUUAGAAAUGACUGCUAAUACCGCAUAAGCGCACAGCAUCGCAUGAUGCAGUGUGAAAAACUCCGGUGGUAUGAGAUGGACCCGCGUCUGAUUAGCUAGUUGGUGAGGUAACGGCUCACCAAGGCGACGAUCAGUAGCCGACCUGAGAGGGUGAUCGGCCACAUUGGGACUGAGACACGGCCCAAACUCCUACGGGAGGCAGCAGUGGGGAAUAUUGCACAAUGGGGGAAACCCUGAUGCAGCAACGCCGCGUGAGUGAAGAAGUAUUUCGGUAUGUAAAGCUCUAUCAGCAGGGAAGAAAAUGACGGUACCUGACUAAGAAGCCCCGGCUAACUACGUGCCAGCAGCCGCGGUAAUACGUAGGGGGCAAGCGUUAUCCGGAUUUACUGGGUGUAAAGGGAGCGUAGACGGUGUGACAAGUCUGAUGUGAAAGGCAUGGGCUCAACCUGUGGACUGCAUUGGAAACUGUCAUACUUGAGUGCCGGAGGGGUAAGCGGAAUUCCUAGUGUAGCGGUGAAAUGCGUAGAUAUUAGGAGGAACACCAGUGGCGAAGGCGGCUUACUGGACGGUAACUGACGUUGAGGCUCGAAAGCGUGGGGAGCAAACCAGGAUUAGAUACCCUGGUAGUCCACGCCGUAAACGAUGAAU